GACGAACGCUGGCGGCGCGCCUAACACAUGCAAGUCGAACGAGCGAGAGAGAGCUUGCUUUCUCAAGCGAGUGGCGAACGGGUGAGUAACGCGUGAGGAACCUGCCUCAAAGAGGGGGACAACAGUUGGAAACGACUGCUAAUACCGCAUAAGCCCACGACCCGGCAUCGGGUAGAGGGAAAAGGAGCAAUCCGCUUUGAGAUGGCCUCGCGUCCGAUUAGCUAGUUGGUGAGGUAAUGGCCCACCAAGGCGACGAUCGGUAGCCGGACUGAGAGGUUGAACGGCCACAUUGGGACUGAGAGACGGUCCAGACUCCUACGGGAGGCAGCAGUGGGGAAUAUUGGGCAAUGGGCGAAAGCCUGACCCAGCAACGCCGCGUGAGGGAAGAAGGGUUUCGGCUCGUAAACCUCUGUCCUAUGGGACGAAGGAAGUGACGGUACCAUAGGAGGAAGCCCCGGCUAACUACGUGCCAGCAGCCGC
rnacentral:rRNA from 1 species